GACGAACGCUGGCGGCGUGCUUAACACAUGCAAGUCGAACGGAAAGGCCCUGCUUUUGUGGGGUGCUCGAGUGGCGAACGGGUGAGUAACACGUGAGUAACCUGCCCUUGACUUUGGGAUAACUUCAGGAAACUGGGGCUAAUACCGGAUAGGAGCUCCUGCUGCAUGGUGGGGGUGGGAAAGUUUCGGCGGUUGGGGAUGGACUCGCGGCUUAUCAGCUUGUUGGUGGGGUAGUGGCUUACCAAGGCGUUGACGGGUAGCCGGCCUGAGAGGGUGACCGGCCACAUUGGGACUGAGAUGCGGCCCAGACUCCUACGGGAGGCAGCAGUGGGGAAUAUUGCACAAUGGGCGGAAGCCUGAUGCAGCAACGCCGCGUGCGGGAUGACGGCCUUCGGGUUGUAAACCGCUUUCGCCUGUGACGAAGCGUGAGUGACGGUAAUGGGUAAAGAAGCACCGGCUAACUACGUG
rnacentral:rRNA from 1 species